UAGCAAAAUAUUAGCUGUGUUUGUGAGUUGAUGCAUGGAUAUAACGCAAUCUUCUGCUUUAAAAGAAUACUUUUUGUUCAUGCGUAAUGAAGGACAGCAUAUGCCAAUGCAGAGAGUUACAGAGGAAAACCUGGGUGCAGCAAGCUACCCCAUUCAGCAAUCUGAAUAUUAUAGAAACCAAGUGAAAAGGACGCAGUUUGAAUACAAUCAUAAAUCAAAUCAUUUGCAUCAAGCAUCACUUUUACCCUCCAGGCAUCCAGUUUUAUCAAGAAUUUGAGAGGCAUGGUACUGUAACCAUCUCUAAUGCCAUGGAUGCAAGCAGCGCCGGAUCUCUCUUUAGGGCUCCCAAAGGCCACCCCCUUUCUCCGCGCCCCCUCAGGAUCGCACGCAUGCAGGGAACGAUCAGAGAAAUUAGAUUGACUACUGCCAGACCCAUUCAAGCUGACCCCCCACAAACAAGGUACGACUGCAGACUUUUCAGGCCCUUUGCUUGGAGAUGGGGGGUCACUGUCAUAAAGUUUGAUGUUGGUCAAAUGUUCUUUAAAAUAAGAACAAUUUUCACUCUGAUAGUGUACCGCUGCGGGUUAAUGCAGAGGAACUAAA